AGUUUUAUCACUGUACUACUGUAUCAAACAAACAAACAAACAAACAAACAAACAAACUGUACUACUGUACAGUAUUAUUACAGGGAUAUUUGUUUGUUUGUUUGUUUGUUUGAUACAGUAGUACAGUGAUAAAAC
rnacentral:miRNA from 1 species